ensembl:lncRNA
UCAAAUUGUCUGUGCUGAUGAGAAAUGAAGACGUCACGUACAGUAUGUUGGUUUAUUCGUGUGAAUGUGUGCUCAUGCGUAACCUGUAAGUGUCCAGAUGAGUGUAAAAUGGGGCUGUUAAGUGGACUAAAAAAAAUGUCAGCGGGCCUGACUCUGGUUUUAGUUCUGUCCCAAAGCACAAUGUAAUGGAGCAUGACAGCUCCCUGGUUCCCCGACGACCUUUGACCCCAAUCACAGUGGUGUGGUACCCUGCCCUACCUCAACCAACUUACACUGACCCACACACACACUUCUGCACAUUGUUUCAACAGAUUAGAGGAGAUUGCCGGAAAACAAUGUCAGACGUGCAGCUUGUGUCAAGAGCAGAAAGGGAGGAAAAUGUCCAACUUCCUGUCUGUCCGUCUCUUAUUUCCUCACUGACAGCAUUCUCAUUUUAAAUAGUCAUUUAAGAACCUGGUAUGCUUUCUGUAAAUAGACAUUACGAUGCUAUUGCUGUAAUCUAAAUAUAAUAAUCCUGCAUGUAAUCCAUCACAUAUUCAUGAGCGCUAACUGGAUUACAUAGUGUGUCCACGAGUUGUUUUACUUUCCCUGUACAGGUAAUAAAGUUGCACUAUUUCUAGUGAAAUCAAGCACCUAAAGUAAUCUUCGAUUCGAUCUUCGACGCGAUUGGAAGGAAAGGGACUUCCACACUAUUUUCUAUAAUUAUUUCUUUCCUUAGACGUCGUAACACAAUGAGCGGUUUUGCUGCAGUCGAGGGCUGCAGGUGGGAUCUGUUUUUGUCGGCCAGUCCAGAAGUGAGAAUAUCACAGGUUCAUUUGACAAAAAGAAUAUCGCAGAAAACUUUCCAUGUGUGACAAACAAACAUUAACAAUACUUUUGGCAAGAUGAUGGUCCUUAAGGAAUGAAUGCAACUGAUGGAAGUAGAAAGCUAACGUGGAGCCUAUAAACCAACUGCACCCUGAUCAGCGUAUGAGCGAGUACAACGGGGCUGUGAAGGCAGCAGAGGCUUUUUAUAGUGUCAGAUAGCUGCUUGUUAGAAACACUUGUUUUCAUUGUAGAAAAACAAUUGUAGUCUCUCAAACUGAGAUUAUAAUAUGAAGCCUUUUUCUAAGCAUCCAAUGGAAAAGCUUUUCCACUUUGAAGGAAACCGGAGGUGAAAAAAUGUCAGUUCACUUGUUGUUUUUGGACUCAAUCCUGCUUGCAGCAUUGCACAGGUUGAACAUACUGCUAUUUUGUUUCUUUACACACAUCAUCAGCCGCUGCAGUAAACUGCUUUAAACCUCUAAAUGUUAUUACCAAAGUUGUUACACUUCCAGUGUGUGCCUGCUGGAAGGCGUGCAUGUGUCUGCUGGAAAAGGGUCAUGGGCCGUGAUUUCGGCGGCACUGUAGCAACACGACUCGUUUUCUCAUCAUUAACAUCAGCAACAUACACACAAACACAAACGCACACACACACGCACAUCUGUCUGUCCGUCUCCUGUGGUUAGUGUCAGUGAUUGUCAGUGUGUGUGGCUGCGAGACGCUUCAAAUACUUGUGACAGAAUCCCAACCAAGCAGAAAAGAGGCCACCACACUCGUAUGUACACACACAGGCACACUAACUUGUGUGUGUGUGUGUGUGUGUGUGUGUGUGUGUGUGUGUGUGUGUGUGUGUGAAAUUGGGAACCUGGGUGUGUGCACUAACAUAUGUGUACAUUCUGUGUGUGUGAGCUCUGCUUAGCCUCCGAGGAAUCUCCCACACGAGUCACUCGCUUCCUCUCUUCUAAGUCAUCCCACCAUUCAUGUCAAAUCUUUUUAUUAAUCCGUUAACAGUGCAUUCCAUUAAAUAUUCUAUGCUGGCUGUGCAUUCCAUUAAGGUCAACUCCUACAAAAUGAUACCACACUGAAGCCAGACAGGAAACGAUAAUUGUUUUUUAGACAGUAGCGACUUACCUGACACUUCACCCUUCCCGCUGCCUUUUUUUAGUUUUUAAUCCUUGUUCAGUACGCCCAAUCCUGACCCACCCUUAGACUGACAGUUCCCUCCGUUUAAACAAUGACAUUAAAAUUGGUAAAUUACUUAAACAGGAAAGUACAUUUGGCAAACGGUCAACUGCUCUGAUGAACCAAAGCUGCAAGGAUGUAGGAAGCUGCUGGUCGAACUGAACAGAUGUAACGUUACAAUGUAAGUGGUGUAAUGAUGGUACAAUGUACCAUGUCAUUUUCAAUAUGUCUUGCAAGCAUUUGUUUUUUUUUACAAUUUGUGGGAAUGAAACUUGUUUUGUAUUAGCUAUAUAUACAUACAAAAGCUCAGCGUGAGAAAUAUUCUCACCGGCAUUGAGAGUCACUUUUCAGGUUUUUGACUGACAUGACGGGAGUUUGAAACAACAAUUAGAUACUUCCAGGAAUGCUGUACACAACACCCCACUAAUACUGUAAUUCUUUAGAAUUACUCAAUGUAGAUGAAAAUCUACAUGCAAAAAAACAUUUUGCAAUUGAAAAGACAUUUAGCAUGUAAAGAAGAGGCAACAAGAUUACAGUAAAGUGCAGUUUUUCUUUGCAACCGUGAACAUGUUUUCAUAUUCCAAGGACUCUAAUAAUUUGAAAUGAUUGCAUUUAUGUUUUUUUCAAAAAAUGUUGCCUCUCGCUGCGGCGUGUCACAGAGAGAGUGAAAUGUGUUCUUUACAAGGAAUUUUUCUGUAGGUUAUUAAAAAUAAUCAUUCAAACUCUUGAAAUAUAAUGUGCAUCUGCAUCGUAAAUUAUUUUAUAUUUAAAAUUGAUUUUUACACUGUAAUCCCGCUAGCAAUUCCCAUUUUUACAUUUAAGCUCUCACUGUGUUUGAUCAUAGAAGAUCAUUUAGACUGUUUCAGUCACUACCUUCUGUUUCUAUAGAGAAACAUACAGGGAAAUGACUGUUCACUGUGGUCACUUACUUGUUCAUCACUGCACUAAUAAAAAUAUUGUACUUGGUGCUUAUUGAAUAACCUCUCUUUACACAUUUCAAUUUUAAACUAACUUUCUCUUUCUUUCUGUGUAAUCCAUAAACAGGAUCCCUCGGUUCGUUGGCUCAAAGUGAUUUGCAACCGGUGGACUGAGGUACACAUGUUGGCCCAGCCAGCCCGGUUAACACGCGCAAUGAGAAAUGUACAUGCUGGGUUUGUUCUAGAUUGAAGUGAUUUAGAUCUUUAUGCUAUUUUGCAUCCUGGAGCAGGUAAAAUGAUCGGUAUGACACACCUGAGGUGGCCAAUAAGAUUGAUACAUCGGGUCAGAGAUCAGGUCGGUGCUGUCAUUUGAGAUGGAUGUUGAGGUAAAGCUCGUCUGUCACUGGACUCCUUGUCAACACACUGCACUGGACAAGUCUCAUUCCAAAGUGUGUUUGUGUAUGUGUGUGUGUGUGUGUGUGUGUGUUUGUGUGUUGCAGUGGGAAAGUAAUCAAAUAGAUAUACUUUGUACAAUUUGAAGGUGCAUAUGUUUGAGUUCAUUUCCAAGUUGUGUUACUGAACACAAUACACUUUAUAUAAAGACAGCUCAUAGAAGAUCAAUAUACAAAUUAUUAUUAAACAAACGGUCAAUUAAAGUUAAAUUAUGGAUUCUGUAGCGGUGUGAAGAUUUUCAUUCUAAAUGGAAAAUCAACGGAAAUGAGUUUUCAAUUUUCAACCCUUUUGUAUUUAGACCACCGCCCAGCAAUGUAGGAAUCAGGCGGGCUGGUCCAUCCACUCAACAUCAACCCUACUAGCUUUAUUAAAGAUUCAAGUCAAACAAAAAACGUAUUACGAAGUAGAAAAAUAAAAUAUUUGUCAUCAGGUGCUCCUGUCAUAAUCUGUUCCAUAGUGUUGAGGCCCUCGUGGUGAACAUACUCGCCUCUGAAAAAACAUCCGCGCAGUUUAAGACAAAGUGGCACAAAGAUAAGGCGGUCAAAACAUAUUCUCACGUAACCAAUUUUAGUAUUGAAAAAAAAUGAUCUGACCACCAUUUGUACUCUUUUUUUACCGACGCCUUCAGUACGAGACACAGCCGACGCACAUGCACUCUUUCCAAGCAUCAGUGUGCGUGAGUUCCUGUGCUUGCGCUUAGACUCGACCUUUUCAAGCCCUUUGUGAGUGUUAUUGUCUGGGCACCGUGAUAGAAGUGGUUUUGGGGAGAGGCGGAAGUUUUUUUUUCCGGAAGGUAUUUGUCCAGCGUGAGAGCGUCUCUGCCACGAGACGAAACAGGAGGCAGCGCAGGUACACAGGGCGAGGCUGAGCACGAACACGCCGGUGUGAAGCAAUGCUCCUCUAACACAACCGCUCACACCAUGAGUUCAACCGCUGCAGAAGUCUGGGAAAGUAAACUUCUCUGAAAAUGCUUGUUUUCCAACUUUAUUUUAUCAAGGUGUACUCUGUUUUAAUCAGCUUUACAAAGCACAUGGCUCAUUUCUGUUUUCUGAGGCAUUUCUUAUUCAUUUUCCUCAAGUCUGUAUCACAGACUAUAAGCUUUUAAGGGAACAGUAAGUAAAAUCCUGGGAACAAUGAAUCAAAAAGUUCAGAACUGUUUGAUUCAUCUUUUUGCUGCAGGGUGAAAGGUCAAGGAACAUUCUUCCUUUCUUUGCUGCUUUCUGUACUUCUCUGCAUCCCAUUCUACCAGCUAACACCCAAAGUUUUAAUAACACCGGUGCAUUUAUCUAAAUGCUUUUUUAAGUUUCGUCAGAGACGACGGUCCUGGCUUUUUUUUUUACUUUCUCCAGCGGUUACUUUUUCUGCAAUGUCUCCCAAGAGUUUGGUCCCUCAACAUCUACUUAAAAAAAUAGAAAAGAAACCUCCCAUCUUUCAGAUCUUUUUAAGACUAUCUAUAGAAUUUUGGGCUGAAACGCAACAUUGCAUGUUACUUUUUAACUUUAAACAAGUUUAAAAUCCUUUGCUUUCUUCUGGGGUGGUCUGCACUGAUCUCUUUACUCUGACAUACCCGUCAAAACACCGCUGUGUGUGUGCGUGUGUGUAAGGUGUGUACACGUGUGCAGACGUGAGGGUAUGAUUCAGAACUCAUAACAGUUAAACAAGGCUUUAACAUCCCUCUUUUGGGUUUCAACUGGCAUUAAGAGAGAGGAGGGUGUUUUCAACAUCAAGCUGCCUUUUGUGGGAAAAAUAAAUGUCUAAUGUCUAUUUCAAGAAGUAAACCCUCGAUGUGUAGUGAGCGAGUGUAAACAUAAUUAGAGCUCUAGCUUUGCUCCUCAGCUUCGGUCGGCACAACGGGGAGCGUUUAGGUUUAAUUUUCAGCCGAAUCAAAGUUCUGGUUUUGUGAACAUAAUAAACCUACUGUGUACACAUGGAUUAUAGUAGAUGAUGGAAGCAACCAAAAUACGGCUUUAUCACAUUUUAUCUGUUGUGAUUAUAAAUCUUAGUGACAAACAUGUUUACAGUUUAGUCUGCUUUUGCAAGAGGUGGAAAGAUAUGCUACGAGAAUGAGGAUAUUGUUUUGAAUAAAACAAUAUUCAGCACAAUCAAGAUAAUUACUUUAAAUAC